GUGACGGCGGAGGAGCAGCGGGGUCGGUUCCUAAAGGCCCGUGUGCGUGUGUCUGUGCUUGUGGGCGAACGAGACGGACAGAAGUCGUGGGACUUCUCCCUUGGAGCUUCUGUGCCGAGAAUCCGAUGUUGGGCUCGGCUACCUGGCUGAAUACAGCAGAUCAGCCCAUGAAAACUUCUAUUCCUAGCCAAAGGAAGGAGUCCAGCAAAAGGCAGCACCUACUCUUUCAGGCUUGGAAGCAAGAAAGGGGGCAAGAGUUGGAGAGUGUGGAAUCUGAGAAGACAACUGAAAGGUGACAUUUAAGUUGAAGAUGGGUGGUGGAGAAAGAUUCAACAUUCCAGUUCCCCAAUCUAGAAAUAUCACCAAGAACCAUCAACAACUUAAAAACAGGCAGAAGAAUAAAGACCAGAAUUCGCAGAUGAAGACCUAUAUGAAGAAAGAAAGAGGACAUGGAUGCAACUCAUCAUCUGGUGCAUGGCAGGCCAUGCAAAAAGGGGGGAAGAACAAUGUUCAUUUCCCCAAUAAUCAAAAUUGGAGUCCUACUUUAUCAAAUCACAACCUGUUUUUCACACCUCAAACCAAUCAGAACUAUGCUGGAGCAAAAUUUAGUGAGCCACCCUCACCAAGUGUUCUUCCUAAGCCACCAAGCCACUGGGUACCUGUUUCUUUUAAACCUUCUGAUAAAGAAAUAAUGACAUUUCAGCUUAAAACAUUACUUAAAGUCCAGGCUUGAGAUGUAACUUUUCAUAUUUUUUAAAGUUAUUUGAAUUUACAGGGUUUCAAAUUUGAGAAUUGUUAUUCCUAACUCCAGAUGCACAGGUGUACAGAACUAGAUGUUCUUGCUGUGUGUAGUUGGUCACUUGGAAGAGAAGGGGGUGGAAGCUUACAUUCCCCCAUUUUUUUACCUCAAAAGUUGUGUGCUGUGUUCACUUCACUGUGCAAUAGGUAUUUUUCUCUAUAAUCAAUCUAAUCAAAUCCUGAACAGUCACCAUUUAUUGUAUUUAUUGUAAAAGUAAAUGGGACUGUCUCCCAAAAUUGGAAUUGUGACUACUUUUUGGUAUGGUGUUAGAAAACCAGCUUUUGCUUAACUAAAUGCAGCAUUUACUGGAAAAAAAUGCACUGAAAGCUUUAGUCACGUACUUUGCUGCUUUUCAAACUUGCGUAAAAUGUGCUAGUUAAAUAAAAACUCUGCAGAGCGGAUUUGCUGAGCAGAGGAGACCUCCACCUAGGCACUAGGUAAAACACAGAUUAUUCUCGUUUAUACCCGUGAGCUUUAUGUGGCAGUCUUGAAUUGGUGGAGAAGCAUUUCAAGCCUGUGACUAAAAUUGAGAUCUAGGAAACAUACCGGUGCAUGUUCUUGAAGGAGGAACACAUCAGGCAAAUCUGUAACUGUCUCUCCAGCUCUAGCAGUACUUCACUGGAAUCUCAGCAAGCCAGACUGUGCCAACUAGCGAUGCUGCGUUGCCAGAUGACUGCCAAAAACCUCUAAAAAAAAUCCUUUAUGUCCCGAUUGCACUGAUGAGUUCUAAAAUGCAUUUUUGUAUCAGUUUUUAAAAUUGUGAAAAAGGUAUAGUUACUUAGACUGGUCUUAAAUUGGUUACCCUGUAAUAAUUGCUUUAAGUUACAGUAGCUUGUGGCAGGUAUUAAAAUGUUUUCAUAGGGAAGACAGAGCCAUGUAAAUAAGUGUAAAACUUUGUAGCAUAUGUAAAUUUACGCUGGGCUUUCCUGCACAGAAGUAUUUUUAGUACAAAACUGCUGAAUGUAAGAUGACCAUGUUGAAUACAUGGCCUGAUUUAAAAGAAGAUAUUUUGUUUAAAAAAAAAAAAAAAGACAUUUGUGGCUGUGCCCUUGCACUUAACAUACAGUGAAUAUGCACAUAUUAUUUGGUUGUGAGCUCAUUUUUAAAGUAAACUCAGUGCAAAAGAGGCUUAUCUAGAAUUUUUUAAUAAAAAAAAAACUAAAAAAAAAGCUGCUCAAGUUUAAGAUACUCAUGCUCUGAAUGUAUAGGAGAGGUGUGUAUUAAAUGAUGAAAAAACACUAAGGUGUUCAAAAUCAAAUUGGAUGUUUCACAAGAAAUGCAAAUGGCUGAGUUUGGGUGCUUGGCGAAAUUGAAGAAUUAUAACAGCGUUUCUGUUCCUACACCAAAUCAAUGCUACAGCAUUACUCUGUCCCAAUAUUUGCUAAUACACAUUGACUUCAGAAUGGGGAUGGGGCAGUUGCCAGUGUGCAGCCUUCAGUGCUGUCACAAUUCAGUUGAUCCUAUAAUAGAAACAACUGAACUGUGAUAACAGAAGGCAAGGGUAUUUAAAAAUACAGUAAUUACUAAAAAAGUGCUUUAACUUGAAGGGGAGUCUUGCAGAUCAUGAAGUGUUCUUUGAGAUGUCUUUCUGUACAUUCAAAAAUGCAUUGGCAGCUGGUUGAAUGUUUACAAAUCUAUUGCUCCAAAUAAGAUGGAAUUGGCAGUCUUUAAACUCAUAUCUUUGUGACCUGGACCUUCACCAGUGAAUGAGCUGUAUCCCAGUUACAAUUGUGUAUACUUCAAAUUGUCAAUGGUACAUGUACAAAUUGGAAACAACAAAAAUUUAAAUAAACUAAACUUUUCACCCCCUAAAA